AUUGAACGCUGGCGGCAGGCCUAACACAUGCAAGUCGAACGGCAGCACAGAAGAGCUUGCUCUUUGGGUGGCGAGUGGCGGACGGGUGAGUAAUGUCUGGGAAACUGCCCGAUGGAGGGGGAUAACUACUGGAAACGGUAGCUAAUACCGCAUAACGUCGCAAGACCAAAGUGGGGGACCUUCGGGCCUCACACCAUCGGAUGUGCCCAGAUGGGAUUAGCCAGUAGGUGGGGUAAUGGCUCACCUAGGCGACGAUCCCUAGCUGGUCUGAGAGGAUGACCAGCCACACUGGAACUGAGACACGGUCCAGACUCCUACGGGAGGCAGCAGUGGGGAAUAUUGCACAAUGGGCGCAAGCCUGAUGCAGCCAUGCCGCGUGUAUGAAGAAGGCCUUCGGGUUGUAAAGUACUUUCAGCGGGGAGGAAGGCGGUGAGGUUAAUAACCUCGCCGAUUGACGUUACCCGCAGGAGAAGCACCGGCUAACUCCGUGCCAGCCGCCGCGGUAA
rnacentral:rRNA from 1 species